UUGACUAGACACCAAUCCUGACAGGUGGUC
rnacentral:piRNA from 1 species